CUGUGCCGGGGCAAAGCUUUCAGCGAUUUCACCGGACCAGACUGUCGGUUUCUGUCAUUUAAAAAAGGAGAGACUAUAUAUGUCUACUAUAAACUCUCAGGCCAAAGGACAAAUAUAUGUGCAGGGAGUGACCAACUCGUAAUCAAUCACAUAUACACUGAAAAAGAAUUGGAGAUUCCUGCUGAGGAAACCGACAUUGUUUGCUUUGACACUGGACACGAUAAGUUUGACAGUUAUGCCAUUGAUUCACUGUUAGGUUCCUCUUUAUUGUUAACAGACAAGGAGGAAUCUGUGCAAGUAACCACAGAGACUUUGUACCUAAACAAAAGUGCUGAGAGCACCACGGUGGAAGUGGAUGAGCCUCCACCUGAAGUGACACUGUUAGAAAAUGAUGAGAUUGAUAGGGAUGUACCUGAGGACAUUGAUAAGGUUGUAGAGGUU